UUCUGCCCGUCCCAGAAGCUGUCCCGAUGAUUCUGCCAAGACUGACUUACCUAUGAAGCUAUCUGCUGUUCCAGAAUGCUCAAUGAACAAACACCAGGGGUCUAGCAGCAGACAGAAACAGCAAGGCAUUUCUGUUGGGAGCUGUUCCUACAGCCCCUCUUCUCUUCCAGGUUUCCAAAAUG